GACGAACGCUGGCGGCGUGCUUAACACAUGCAAGUGGAGCGACGAACCAGGCUUCGGCCUGGGGCAAAGCCGCGAACGGGUGAGUAACACGUGGGUAACCUGCCCCGAUGACCGGGACAACCCGAGGAAACUCGGGCUAAUACCGGAUGUUGUCACCUCACAUGAGUGAGAUGACUAAAGAUAGCUUCGGCCUUCGCAUCGGGAUGGGCCCGCGGCGCAUUAGCUUGUUGGNGGGGUAAGUGGCCUACCAAGGCGACGAUGCGUAGCUGGUCUGAGAGGACGAUCAGCCACACUGGGACUGAGACACGGCCCAGACUCCUACGGGAGGCAGCAGUGGGGAAUCUUGCGCAAUGCGCGAAAGCGUGACGCAGCAACGCCGCG
rnacentral:rRNA from 1 species